rnacentral:tRNA from 1 species
GCCUGGGUGGCUUAGUCGGUUGAGCACCCGACUUCAGCUCAGGUCAUGAUCUCACGGUUUGUGGGUUCGAGCCCCACGUCGGGCU